GAAUGAAGAUUUUGUGACUGAGUGGCGGACGGGUGAGUAACGCGUGGGUAACCUGCCUCAUACAGGGGGAUAACAGUUGGAAACGACUGCUAAUACCGCAUAAGCGCACAGGGUCGCAUGACCUGGUGCGAAAAACUCCGGUGGUAUGAGAUGGACCCGCGUCUGAUUAGCCAGUUGGUGGGGUAACGGCCUACCAAAGCAACGAUCAGUAGCCGACCUGAGAGGGUAACCGGCCACAUUGGGACUGAGACACGGCCCAAACUCCUACGGGAGGCAGCAGUGGGGAAUAUUGCACAAUGGGGGAAACCCUGAUGCAGCGACGCCGCGUGAGCGAAGAAGUAUUUCGGUAUGUAAAGCUCUAUCAGCAGGGAAGAAGAAAUGACGGUACCUGACUAAGAAGCACCGGCUAAAUACGUGCCAGCAGCCGCGGUAAUACGUAUGGUGCAAGCGUUAUCCGGAUUUACUGGGUGUAAAGGGAGCGCAGGCGGUACGGCAAGUCUGAUGUGAAAGCCCGGGGCUCAACCCCGGUACUGCAUUGGAAACUGUCGGACUAGAGUGUCGGAGGGGUAAGUGGAAUUCCUAGUGUAGCG
rnacentral:rRNA from 1 species